rnacentral:rRNA from 1 species
UAAUGUAUGGGGAUCUGCCCGAUAGAGGGGGGUAACUACUGGAAACGGUGGCUAAUACCGCAUAAUGUCUACGGACCAAAGCAGGGGCUCUUCGGACCUUGCACUAUCGGAUGAACCCAUAUGGGAUUAGCUAGUAGGUGGGGUAAAGGCUCACCUAGGCGACGAUCUCUAGCUGGCCUGAGAGGAUGAUCAGCCACACUGGGACUGAGACACGGCCCAG